GACAGAGGGUGCUAGCGUUGUUCGGAAUUACUGGGCGUAAAGGGCGCGUAGGCGGUCUGUUAAGUUCGGUGUGAAACCUUGGGGCUCAACCCCAAGCCUGCACUGGAUACUGUCGAGCUCGAGUCCGGGAGGGGAGAGCGGAAUUCCUAGUGUAGCGGUGGAAUGCGCAGAUAUCGGGAGGAACACCUGUGGCGAAAGCGGCGCACUGGACCAUAACUGACGCUGAUGCGCGAAAGCUAGGGGAGCAAACAGG
rnacentral:rRNA from 1 species